AACGAACGCUGGCGGCAGGCUUAACACAUGCAAGUCGAGCGAGACCUUCGGGUCUAGCGGCGGACGGGUGAGUAACGCGUGGGAACGUGCCCUUCUCUACGGAAUAGCCCCGGGAAACUGGGAGUAAUACCGUAUACGCCCUUUGGGGGAAAGAUUUAUCGGAGAAGGAUCGGCCCGCGUUGGAUUAGGUAGUUGGUGGGGUAAUGGCCCACCAAGCCGACGAUCCAUAGCUGGUUUGAGAGGAUGAUCAGCCACACUGGGACUGAGACACGGCCCAGACUCCUACGGGAGGCAGCAGUGGGGAAUCUUAGACAAUGGGGGCAACCCUGAUCUAGCCAUGCCGCGUGAGUGAUGAAGGCCUUAGGGCUGUAAAGCUCUUUCAGCUGGGAAGAUAAUGACGGUACCAGCAGAAGAAGCCCCGGCUAACUCCGUG
rnacentral:rRNA from 1 species